CAAUAGCGCGGCGUGCUGCUGAGCUGUGUGCCAACCGCUCUUUUUUUCAUGCAGGAGACUCAAGUUGGCUUCGCUAACGGACACAGUUUUGAACUCGUAUAUUAGCGCCAUUUAUUGCUGCUUGGACCACAGCAUCUUCGGAAUUUGUAGACAUCCUGGCAGCUUACAAUUAGUUCGAGGUGAGACACUGAAUUUGAGCAGAAACCAUUAGGAUACUCAAAGGACCUGUGACUCUCAGGAAAUGCAUCAAAUGAGAGGGACAGAUGAAACAGUUUCAAGACAAUGGCAGGAAAAACAUGCUGAAGAUUGAAACAAACCUUGGCUGGAAAUAUUUGAAGGUAUCUAGCCAGUCCACAAUGAAAGCUUCGUUGCACCCCAUGAGUCUUCUGGCAGAAAUGAUGGCGCCUGUAUUCUUUGGUUUCCUAAACAUCACACCCUGCCUGUUUAUACGAGGCUCUUCAAUUAAGUCUGCACCCAAAGAUUCAAUAAGAGGUAAGCAGUGGUAUUAUUCAAGUUUUGC